AAAACAUCUUUUCUUGUUUAUAUAUAUGAGAUUUGGCCUGCCCAAUGAUAUUUUAAUGGCCGCGGUAUUUUGACCGUGCAAAGGUAGCAUAAUCAUUAGUUUAUUAAUUGUGGACUUGUAUGAAUGGUUUCACGAAAUAUUAACUGUCUCAUUAUUAUUAUUAGAAUUUAAUUUUUAAGUCAAAAAGCUUAAAUUUUGUUGAUGGACGAUAAGACCCUAUAGAUCUUUAUUUAUUUAUUUAUUAAUAUUUUUAUUAAUUUCUUAUUAUUAAGUGCAUAUAUUUGGUUGGGGUGACAAUUAGCUAUAAUUAACUCUUUUGAUAAAAUUACAUUGAUUUAUGUAUAAAUGACCUUGUAUUAUUGUUUAAAGAUUUAGAUACCUUAGGGAUAACAGCGUAAUUUUCUUUGAGAGUUCAUAUCGACAGGAGAGAUUGCGACCUCGAUGUUGGAUUAAGAUUAAUUUUUGGUGUAGAAGUUAAAAUUUUAGGUCUGUUCGACCUUUAAAAUCUUACA
rnacentral:rRNA from 1 species